AGGUGGCUGGAUCCAAACAAACCAAUAAGGAAGCAGCUAAAGAGAGGAUCUCCUUACAGUUUGAACUUUAGAGUCAAAUUUUUUGUAAGUGACCCCAACAAGUUACAAGAAGAAUAUACAAGGUACCAAUAUUUUUUGCAAAUCAAACAAGACGUUCUUACUGGAAGAUUGCCCUGUCCUUAUAAUACUGCUGCUCUUUUGGCUUCAUUUGCUGUUCAGUCUGAACUUGGAGACUACAAUCAAACAGAAAAUUUGCCAGGCUACCUCUCAGAUUAUUCUUUCAUUCCUAAUCAGCCUCAAGAUUUUGAAAAAGAAAUUGCAAAAUUACAUCAGCAACAUACAGGCUUAUCUCCUGCAGAAGCAGAAUUUAAUUACCUGAACACAGCACGUACCUUAGAACUCUAUGGAGUUGA